rnacentral:tRNA from 1 species
CCCUCUGUAGCUCAGUUGGUUAGAGCGCUGCACCGGAAUCGCAGGGCCGUAGUAGGUUCAAUUCCUACCAGAGGAC